CGGCAGGGUGACCAGCCCCGCGCAGUGGUCCCGGGGAGCCACCGGGCAGACCCGGCCGCCUAGCACGCCCUCCACGCACACCAGAUUAUCCUGCAAGGACUCAAUACUUUUAACUACUAUGCUAAAUUGCUUCUUGAAGGUCUUGGUGUCAUCACACAGAUGAGUGCAUUAAAAAAAAAAUGGAGCCUUAAAAUAAAAAAAUAUUAACAACACUAAGGUACCAUGUACUCUUCUGUACCUUGAUAUUUUUCACUUAAGUAAUUUUGGAGGUUUUUCCAGAACAGUACAUGUAGAUCAAGCUCAUUUUCAAUGCUGCAUGGUAUUCCAGGAUGGAGAUCUGGGGAGACAGAGUGGUAAGAAGAAUGGAAAAGAUCUUUCCUGAUUGAUAUUAUUGUGGUCAGUCUUCUCCAGACUCGGCAGAUAUUUUAAGGUAACUCUCUUAUGUGGGGAUUCUUCAGAAACCCACCGAUGAAAGAAGACACCUCCAUUAAAACAGACUUCUGGAUUUCCAUCAGUGACAGGCUUCUGGAGGGGCAGAGCCAAGUGGCAGCCCUUGACAGCCAGCAGCAAGGUGGGUGCAGUUACUAUAAUGGGCAGAGUGUCUGCAGCAGCAAGCAGAGUAUUUCAGCACACAAGAAUCUUUGAUGUUUGUUAAUUGUUCAUGGUGGCCCUAGGACCAAAACAGAUUGGAAUUCUACUAGGAAUCACUUGAUUUAUGUAACUGGGAAAUCUCUAGAUCCGGUGACUAGAAACCUGAGUUGUUCAAUGUAGAGUCAUAGCUCAUCACCCAAGUCUCAGAUCUGAAUCAGUUCAAAGACAUAGAAAUGCCCGGAUAACUGAUUUUGCAGCUGGGUCCAAGGAGUAGCAGCAGCAACAGCACCUGGGAAUUUGUUCGAAAUGCAAAUUUCCAGACCCUUCCCCAGCCCUAUGGACGCAAACACUCUGGAGGAGGGUCCAGCAGUCUUUGUUUUAGCAGGAACUUCAGCUGAGUCCUGUGCAUGCUAAGGUCUGAGAACUCUGACCUUAAGAGAAGGAGAGGCUGGGAAGCCUUGAGAAGGGACCCUGUAACAUUGCUGUAAGUACCUAGUGUAAGUCUUCCUUUAAGUCUUCUCCAGAAGAUCUGCAGCCAUUAACUAGGGUAACUGCAGUGAGGAAGGAGGAAUAUCCAGGCCUUUGGGACAUUUCUAGACGUUAGCUCUGAGUCGAUGCUAAUCUGUAAAGCUCCAACAUGCCUCUGGACCACGGAGAGGGGUUGGGGGUAGGGGUCUCAUGUGGUGAUCAAAUGAUAAAUGAAACUUUGGGGUGUGGCUGCUUCACAGUGGGUCUACUCACCCCCACUAUGGUUAUUUUCCCAUCCCUGAAUAGAGCUGUAAUAGGUGUCCUCAGCGACUAAAAGAACCCCUGUAUUGAUUCCCUGACCUGGGUGAUGAGCCUCAUUAUGGUAGGCAGGACCAUGCGGAAGCUACCUGGAAUUUCCUCUUCUUACCUAAGAGUAAACUGAAAGCAAUACCGCAUCCCUGGGAGAACUGCAGAGAUUAGUAUUUCCAUCUAAUACUUGAACAAUACAGGGGUUGUUCCACCACAUCCUCAUUUAACUUAUCUGUUUGGCAUGACAGAAGGAAGAUGGUUAUUGGAGAAUGACUAUGGAUUCUUAUAGAAUCAUUCAGGUACCGGACCAGAUGUAGUCUCUUUACUGGAUAACACAACAGUGCUUCUGGUACUUUGAAGGCAACUAUUGAUCUGGCAGAUGCUUUUUUUUUUCUCAAUACCAAAUUAGCAAAGAUCACCAGAUGGAGUUUGCUCCCAAUUAGCAGGAUCAGCAAAACACCCUCCCUGUCUUACUUCAGACCUCUGUGACUCUUCCGCUGUCUGACAAGAUCUUGUCUGCAGGGGCCUUGAUCAUCUUGAUACUCCCCAGAACACCAUGCUAAUAUAUGACAUUAUUGACAUGGUGAGCAGGAAGCAGCACAUACUCUAGAUGCCUUAAUAAGACAUAUGUAUGCCAGAGGGUGGGACAGAAACUCCAAGAAAAGUCAAAGGCCUACUACCUCAGUGAAGUUUCUAAGGGGUCCAGUGGUCUGAGAAAUGUUGGCAUUUCGUCUCCAAAUUGAAGGGCAAAUUGCUAUACUUUGUACCACCUACCACUGAGAAAGAGCUAUAGUGUUCUCUAUCUCUUGAUUUUUGAGAUAACAUAGGCUCUUUCUGAGUGUAUUGUUCAAAGCAACAUUUGAGUAAUCCACAAAGCUGCCAAGUUUUGUGUGGGGACCAGCGCAUAAAAAGCCUCCCUAGCAGCGUUUCUCAACAUCAUCAGUGUUGACAUUUGGGGGACAAAGAAUUCUUCGAUGUGGGAGGCUACUUGCGAAUUGUAAGAUGUUGUUUAGCAGCAUCCCUGGCCUCUAUCCCCGGUUGUGACAUCCAGAAAUCUCUACAGACAUCGCCAGAUAUCCUUGGGGGAGCAAAACUGCCCUCACUUGAGAAUCCCUGACCUACAGCAUGUCUAGGUAAGCCUCGAGGUGAGUAAAGCACUGGCUGACACUUAACUGCAACCUCGUGAGAGACCCCGAGCCAGAUCUUUCUAACUAAGCUAAUUCCUCGAUUCCUGACUCUCAGAAACCAUGAGAGAUAAUGAAUGCUUGUUGCUAAGUUUGGGGAUAAUUUGUUUUGCAGCAAUACACUGAUCCACCAAGCCAUACGGUUGGCGUACACAGCAGCAAUUGUCCAGUGUAGGUAGUGUACACCAGACUGGAGUUGAGCAGGUCCUGAAUGUGCAGAUGGUGGAGGAAGAAACUGUUUGGACCAGGUUCACAGAUGGUUCCUUACAAUUUGAAGGCAUCAGAUAGAUGUGGACUGUAGAAGCAUUACAGCCCAAAGCAGGAAUGGGUUGUGAAGCAGAGGAAGGUGCUAUUAGAAGUACCAGGUCUGACAUGAACACGAAUUGGUUUUACCUCUUGCUGGUAUGUAUUCCCUAUGCUCAGGUUCAAAGAAAACCCAGAAAACUCUUAGAUCUCCAUCUGAAUUUCAGUCAAAGGAUUCAGUUCUGCGUCUUUCAUCCCAGCCCAGUUUUCCUGUCAGGAGCACCACUGGUUUUCUCUUUAGCUGUCAGCACAUUUGGAACAGAUUUUUCUUUCUGGCAAAAGAUUCUACAGCAGUCUAGAUUUUAGUUUAUAAUUUCAUUAUAAAUAAGAGAGACUUUUAAAGAGUCACUUCAGAAUCACUGCACAGCUUCAUCUGGGAUUUGGCCAACAGUUGUUAGAGUUCUAUUAAAUCAGCUUUCUUCUAACAGUGAAAAGAAGAGGUGGAAAGUUUGUAUUUUCUCAAGUCCUCAACAGCUCCAUCAAAUAGCUAAGAAUGAUUAAAAAUAAAACAACAUGGAGUAUUUUGGGACUGUACAUUCUACUUUUGUUUUGUUUCCCUAAAGAUGAAGAGAAUUGAGAAAAUGUCAUCUUGGCAUAUGUAAUUUGAAGUCUGUCCCUUCUACCCGCGCCUAGAAUCCUCUUGUUAGGCAUAACAUAGGGUGUGCAAUAUGUUGUUAUUACAGACAGGGCUUAGCUUGUAGCUGACAAAGGAGUACUGCUAUGACAGAAGAUGGAAUUUUUAUUUGUAAUGGAAGAAAGGGUUGACUUUCUAAAUACCUAGUGGUAGAUCGCAAUUUUAAAGUAAGCUAGAUAAAAAUCUAUUUUAAGAGCCCUGUUGCUUCCUAAGAGUGAAACUAGAAUUUCCCUUCUUAACCCCAAGAUAGAUAAACACUUCUGUUUCACACGAAACACCACAAGUCAAACGAUGGCCAGACUUGCAGUUUCCCAUUAGAAAAUACCUCGGUUCAUUCAACAGUAAAUAUUAAUGAACACUUGUGAAGUGCCAGCUACUCUGUUAGAAGCUGUAUUAGUACGGGGUUGAACACAAGAGACCAAAGUCCCUGUCUUUAUAGAGCUCAUGCAAGCUUCUCGUAAGGGCUUCUGGAGUGAAUUGAAACAUUAACAAAGCGUUGAUACGAUGAACAAACUAGUGUUCUUCACUAAAUGGGUGAAAUCACAAAUGUGAUAAGAAUCAUAAAUUUUAAAAUACUACAUAAAGAACUUCUGCGACAUUCUUUUCCUUUAUGUAGCACCGAGGUCCCUGAAUUUCUUCACUGUUGUGCUAAUUGUAAUGAACAGAACUCUUAUAUUCAUUUGUCCUGUGCAAAGUGUUGUUUUCCGGAAACCCAUCUCGCCGAAGAGAAAAAAGUCUCUUUUCUGGGGAGAUUCAGACAUGGAGCUGUAAAUGAUUCUGGCAGGAUGCGUGCUGAAGGGAGAGGAUAUUAGCAAUUGGAAAAUGGCUUUGUUGCCAGAGGCUACAUACGAAGGCAUUAGAAGCCACAUGAUAGAAUUAGAUGGAGGAUCUGUGCAGGUCUGGUUAAGCUCAAAAUGUCUAACAACCCACCAGGAAUUGAUUGUAGGACAGCCUUAGAGCAGCCAAAUGUACCUUUUAUUAUCUCUGAGAAGGGAGUCUUAUUUUGAAAUCCAGAAUUUUGGAAGAGUGAUCAUGACUAAAGUCCUAGCUGCUUUGCUCUAUUCCACCCACCCCGCUCCUCAGUUUUGGUACCCAGCUGCAUCCCACUGUGCCUUCUCAUUUGAAAGAGCUCCAACCUUGAACGUCCCCAUUGCUGAAAAAGGAAAGAGGAAGAGAAAGAGGAAGGAAGGAAAUACUUCUCUGCUACUGCAAGUGAUUUGAAGGUUUGGGACUGUGCUGGCUGAUGCACAGCCGCUUCUGUCCUUAGACACGUCCCAACCAUCUGGUCACCUGGGCUCCCCCCUCCAUCUGGCUCUAAUCAUCUCAGCCAAACUAAGGGUUGUUUGUUGGUGGUUGUGAUUUUCUUUUCUUAAAUUUCCCGUUAAUUUUGUCCUGCCUUAGUUUUGUUUUCCUUUUAGUAAUGCAAGUCUUGAAUAAAUUAAUUUGUUGCUCAUGGGCAAAAAAGUGGCUUCAGCAACCAGCCCAAAACAUCCUCAAGCUAUAACAAUGUUGAUUCACCUGUAAAAAUCUGCAUUUAUUCUCCACACACUUAAUGGUGUCUUCCUUUUGGGCCAUGAACACACCCAUUAUAUUUCUCCGGGGGCUAAGAGGACACCUCAGCACAGGUCCUACAGUUCUUCCAGAAAGAGGUGUCCCGAAAGCAGAUGGAAGGAUAGGAGGCUGCAUCAGAGAAGAGCUUAGGCUUGAUUUCUGUUAAGUCCUUUCUGAUUUUUUUUUUAAACCCACGCACAUGUUUAUUUAAAUAGCUGAAGAGUUUAUAAUCCUGGACAUUGAAGAUAAAUACAUUUUCUCUUAGAUGUUUUGACUUGGUUUGAGCUAUGUUUCCUUGUGUUACAAAAUGGUCUGGCUCUUUUAGGAAGCCACAAGUUGUAGACACUGAAUUGAGCUGAAUCAUUUAUCCAGAGAGAGCAUUAGGAACAGGUGGGAGCAGUUACUAGAGGUAAAACAGAGACCCAGGAAGAACAAAAUGACUCUCUAGGAAAUGUUCCAAUGCCUCAAGACCAGAGGGAUGGGGGGAGAAUUCACAGGCACCAUCUUGCUAAUGAUGACCACACCCUGUGCGCAGGGAAGGCGGGGCAUUCCCUGUAUUAGAGAGCAGCGGGCAUCCUGCAGCCAGGAGAUCCACGCUGUCACUCUGUCUCAGUCUACAGGUUUGGUGGCCCGUAGAUCCCCCUCCUCAUAAAAUUCACUGGCUUCUGAGCACCUCCUGUGGCCCUUAAGAAAGAAUCAGUUGCUUUGUGACCACUUUGUCCAACCAGUUAGGUUUCAGCAGUUCAACUGCUGAAACCAGUUAGAGAUACACUUAAGUAUCACUUAAGUAUCUUCAGUGAGUUAGUGGAUGAUAUUAAAAAUCACAGUAGGAUUAAGUGAAGACAACAGGACAUACUGUUGUCUCAAAUGCAAACAAAAAUAGGAUCUACAAAUAAUAAAUGACCAGAAGGACUAGUAUUAAAAGUUUAAAGUUCGUUAUAUCUGGGCUACGAGCUUAUGGAUCGUUUUUAGGUCCUAUAUUUAUUCGUAUUUUUAUGUGUUAUCUAUUACUUCUCAACGUGGCAUAAAUAGUGGUGCUUGAUGCUUGGACCACCCCCCCACCCUUCAGUUAAAUACUUCCUGAGCACACACUGUGCGUGGCGCCCGGCGCAGGGAGCAAAGCUGAGCACGUUCCAGGGCUUUACCUUGAACUACCGCCUCCGUGACUCUGACAGCACCGGCCCCUCCUCCAGGAUGAGAUCCUGAGCUUUUAUUCCCUUCACAGGCCCAGGACUCCCGGCUGGUCCUGCAGUGUUGGUAGUAUACUCUCUCAGGUAUGGGCGAGGCUCCCUCCUGCUCUUCCUUCAGACCCAGCUCGGAUGUCAGCACAUCAGGAGGGCUUUCCGGACCACCCGAUGUGAUCAUGCCCUCACCUCCCACCAGGCCGGAUUCCCUGUCGUGCUUUGAUUUUCUUCAUGGCGUUUGUCAAUAUGUAUCUCUGUAGGGCCCCGGGGAAUGCAGACAGGCCACGUCACACUCCUGAAGUUGCCAAAAAUCCCUUUAAAAUGAUCCAACAGAUGUCCUUCCUUGGGGUCGAGCGGAUAUAAAUCACAACGGUCUGCUUUCAAUUCCUAACUCGGUGUCUUAGGGGCAGCAAAAUCAAUCACUCUCAGGGAUGAUGAGAUGGACCCUUUGUCUAAAAACAGUAAGUGAGGAGGAUACAGAGAAGCAAUUGAAGGAAACAAAGGCAAAAGUGGGAAGUCCCCCUCUGGCAAGCAGCUCCAAGAAGACAGAGCUGGUGCCAGAAUGGAAACCUUGGGACUCCAGUUGCUGCAUAAAAAAAAUAAAUAGAGGAACAAAAAUAACACCCACAUCUCCAUGCUGGACAGCAGAAGAGCAAGAAGUUGCCGAACAUUUGUUUUUUUUUUGUUUUUGCUAGAUUAUUUUUUACUCUCUAAAUCUAAGCUCCUAUAUUCCCCUUCUUCCCUGUUUCUAUAUGUUAGAAGCUCAGUACAAAUGAAAAAAAAAAAAAAAAAAAAAAACCAAAAAAGCCCCCAAAAAAACCCCAGAACAAAAGCAUUAAGGCUGGGUGCUUCAUUUAUUGUCAACAGGGAUGUUUCAGACUAUUGUUAAACUAGAAGGGACUCAAUGCUUUAGAAACAUCUCAUCACUCAAUUUAGUGAUUUUCAUAUACUUUUGUUAGACUGCCAUGCAGCAAAACAUGGAACUCCUCCCCAGUCCCCUCUACUUCUUCCAUCUCUCAUCAAGGCAGUUUCCUUGUUAUGGUGAAGGGAAAACUGGAUACAACUGCAGUAUUUCUAGUCCUAUCUGAUGAAUAAUACUCAGCCCAUUUCAUCACCUGAGCCUUUAAGACAUAGUAACUCUUAAGGACCCUGUUAGAUGGGGUUGGGGGAAGCGUCUUGCCCUGUGAAAACAGAUUCAUGCUAGGAGAGGUCAACAAAGACAAUAAAAUAAAUACUUAUUACAUGCUUACUAGAUGCCAGACAGAGUGUCAAGUAAUAAAUGAGCAUUAUCUUAAUUAAUUCUAAUAAUGAAUCCUUCUGCAAGAGAGGUAGGUAUUCAUAUCAACCCCAGUUUACAGAUGAGGAACCUCUUGGAGAGGUUAAGUAACUUGCCCAAGGUCACACAGCUAGUAAGUGGUAGAGCUGGGAGCUAAUCCAGGUCUAACACAGUAUUCAUUAUCUUAAUCCCUAAACUAUAAUGUCACUUGAGUAUGGUGAUAAUAGAAGUAGUGAGAAUCGCCAAGGUAAUAAAAAAUAAAUAAAAUUCAAGCUCAUAAUUUCUCAAUCUGAGGUCACCAAAGGUGGUCCAUGGUUUGGGUUGGGGAGAGUCUAUGAAUUAUUUUCAACAAUUCAAAUAGUCUAAUCCAUGGGUUCUUUGUCUUUUGUGUGCCAUGGACCCCUAUGGCUGUUUAAUGUAGCCUAUAGAUACCUCUCAGAAUAAUGUUUUUAAAUACAUGAUUCACUCAUAUAUAUAUUAUGAUACAUAUCAUAAUAUAUAUACAUAUAUAUUUAGAUUACAAAUGAAGCCAUUACAUUGAAAUGAUCAAAACAGCUAAACAUGAAUUUGUGAUACAUCAACAUACACCUUUCUAUAUGAACACAUAUAGAAGAGCAACCCGUGGGUCUGAUAACUCCUGUAACUUUAAUGUAGUGAUGGUCAUAAGCAUUGUUCCUAGCUAUUUGCAACAGCAUCUGUGUUUGAUAUGAAAAUAUCUCUGCUUUCUACGGUGACAAAGCCAAAGGCACUGCUAAUACUGCUGUGGUUUGUUGCCUACAUUCAUAAUGGAAGGAAAUGAUGUUUCAGUUAGAGGUUAGUGAAAAUAAAGACGCAAUUUUUUUCCCUUCUAAGUUCACUGACCCCUUGAAUCCUAACCAUAAACCCUUAACCCAGGUUAGGAAUCUAUUAAAUAACCUAACGAUCACCUAAUGGAAGUGCUAAGUUUACUCCUGAUAAGGCUUCAGUCUAAAUCAUUGCAUUUUUAUUUUUGCUUUGGCAUGGAACUAAUUGUAUCAAUCUAUUAUAUCAAUAGUAUUUGAUCAAUAAUUAAUAUCCAGAAACACACUGUUACUGGUGGGCAACAUCUUUGCUGAGAACUCUUCUGGAUGAUGUUUACAGGAGACCCUGCUUGAUCUAGUUGUAUCUUUGUUGGAAAGUAACAGAAGACUUUGCACAUGAGGAUCACAUCAUUUCAGUAUGGGACAGAAUGCUGCUGGGAAAAGGAAGCUAAUGUUUUGAGUAAAUAAAAGAGUUCUUCUACGAGUCUAAAUUACCAGUGGUCUAUCAGUAUUUUGAGAGAACAAAGGUCACUUGUAAACCUACAAUGCAUGGCAGGGAACUGAGGUUUAAAAUUUAGUUUAAGGUUUUGGCUGAGGAUUUCAGAGAACCAGAGCCAUACCAGUAAAUACUGUUGACUAGAGGACACUUUUCUAAAUGUGAUGCUUCAGAUCAAUGGCUGGUUUGUUAAGAGUAAAUCUAUGUUCUCAGGUUUCUGGUUGGCCUGUAAGUAACUAAAAUAGGUCAGGAUCUAGAGCACCCUUUAGGCAUCAGAACGGAAGUUUAUCCAAACGUAAGCCACACAGGAUUCCUGCAAGACGGAAGCCAUUUCCUUAUCAAUAGAGGAACAAAAGACAUCACAGUUUAGGGUUCCCCAAAACCAGCUGCAUAUUAAAUUCCCUAAGAAGCUUAAAUAUUGAUGCUCAGGUCUUACCCCAGACCAGUAAAGUCAGAAUAUCUGGAAAUAGACCUUGGGAAUCUAUAUUUGCAAGGGUUGAGACACAAUGGCUUAGGAAAAUGUAGUGGACAAGGAUGGUUCCAAAUUCUUUGCCGUUCUUGCCAUCAGGAGGAAUCUGGCCUUGCUCUGUGAUUUGCUUUGACCAAGAGAAUGCAAUGGAAAUAACAGUCUGGGGCUUUUGAACCCUGGCCUUAAAAGGACGGGCAUCUUUUGCUUCUCAGUUUGGGAGACCUGCUGCUAUGCUGUGAAGUCCAGACCAGGACAGUACAUGGUCAGAGGUCAUAUGGAGAGAGCGCUGGAGGACAGGAGAUUCCCUUGGAGACUACCUAGGAGACUACCUUACCCAGCUUUAGCCAAACUCUCAGCUGAAUGCAGCUGCGUGUGCGACCUCGGCCUACCCCAAUCAGAAGAACCGCUCUACUGAGCCCAUUCCACCCACAUAAUUGUGAGAAAUAAUAAAUUAUUGUGGUAAGCCAGUAAGUUUUGGAGCGAUUUCUUAUUCUGUAAUAAAUAACUGAAAAAGGGAAAUAUUUCCUGACAAUUCUUGAUUCUUUUCCCUGAAAGAUCUGUUGCUCCUAUCUUGGAAUCUUGAUGUGAACUGAAAAACAAGGCUGGAUCCAUCUUUCUAAUGCAGAUAGAAGACAUAAUGACACUAAGAGCUCAAGUGAAAGCUUACAUUAUGCAAACAAAGGAAGACCAAUACCCCAUGUGGCCUUAGGGAAACCACCAACUCCUGCUGCUGUCUACUCACCCACCCCCUCGCAAACCCUGAGAGCUUGCAACUGCAUUGUCUCGGUGGCCUUUGUGGUAGACAGAUGCAUCAUCAGAUCCCCUUUCAAGGAUGGACUUGCGGCCCAGCUGUGGGAAGUCAGUCAGCAGACGGCUUCCAGCUCCUUCGGGGUCUGCCUCAGCUGCAGAGCACAGCCUUUCCCCAAAAUGAUGCCCUUCCUGGGGCAUCCCACAUUUGGUGACUAAGUGAGGCGGGGGGUAUAAAGGCCCGAUCAUUUUUGUCUGAUGUAAGAUGCUCUGAUGGAAACUACUCUCUCUGGAGCUCCCUUGCAGGUUGGCCAAGGUUUGUCAGGCCUCUAUCAUAGUUUGGUUUUCUCCUCUGCCAAUUCUGCUUCCUACCCCUUCCUUUCUCAGGUGUUAAUCCCUAAUAAAUAUCUUGCACUCCAAACUUUGCCUCAAUGCCUGCUUCUGGAGAAUCCGUGAAGCUCUUGAUGGAAAGUUUUAUAUUGAGGGCAGGGGUAUGUUUUGAUUGCUAUGUCUGAUUUUCUGCCCACAGCCUGAUUCCCAAAAGUGGACAGAAGUACUUUCCCCAGGUCUGGAAGAUGGAGACAAAGAACCCAUGAAUCAGGCCAUCCCUCUUGGUAAAAAUCCAGACCUGGGAGAGAGAUGAAGAUUCUGUUUAACAAUUUCUGUAACAAAGCCAAAACAUGUUCCCAGGAAUUAGCUGCAUUUGGUAAUCACUGUCUCAAAUCUGUUUAACAGUUACUUUCCUCCAUUAAAUAUUGUUUUAACUUCUCAUGCCUUAUCAACUAGUUGAAUGCAAUAGUUACAUUUAUUGCUCUUUGCUUACUCUGAUUUUGUCAGUGCAACCAAGGACUUGCUGAAGACCUUUCUGGAACUGUUGGUUUCUUCGGAAAUAGUUUCUAAUGCUCCCUAAGAUGUUUAAAAUUCUAAAUUAAAAAAAAAAAAAAAAAGAAUUAUCAGAAAGUUCAAGAGAGGCAGGUGGCCAGCUCGGUCAUUCUCUCUGUGGAUUAUCCGUGGACAUGUUGAAAUCCUAGCCUGAACUUCCCUUCCACUCGAAGGACUGUGGUUAUUCUUUUCUCCAUUUUUCAGUUGUGUGUAGUCAAAGAAACAAAAUGGUUGAUGUUAGUUUUAGAAAAGCACAAUUAAGAAGCCGUAGUUGUUCACUGUUUUCUGUCUGCACACCAGGCUUUCCCCAUCCUCCUACUCCUUGUAAGCACUCUGCUUUUCUUUAGAAAACAGCCUCUUCUAUGUGGACGGGAUGCACUGCCAAACACACUGGCCACCACCCGCACUCUACCCACCUCUGUCACCACCACCACCAAGGGCAGACUUGUAGCCCUGGUCCGGUGGCCAACCAGAAUAUUCCAUCCUUCCCGCUCCAUGGCCCCCACAGGUACUUAAAGCACAGCGGUGCCGGGGAAAGAGCAAGAUGUGGGCUGUCAAAUCUCAGAUACUAUUACUAUUUGAAGCCUUAAUCAAGUUUUCCAGGUGAAACUUCUGUUUCUACAUUUAUAAAUUAGUAAAUACAAUCACAUAAUUUACAGGGGAGCUAUGAGUAUUCCAUAAAAUUGUGGAUAAGAGAGUGUGUGGCAGACCACUGGCCUGAGGGCUUGCGAAUGCUGAAGGAUUGGUAGCCAUCCUUAGCGUCUCCUUUGGCCUUCCUGACACCCCCAUGCACCAGCGACCAGCCCACAGCCGGUAAGUGGCAAAAACUGAAAUUCACAUAGGUUGGUCUAACUCCACAGUCCACCUUCCUCUCAUUACCCCAGACCGCCUCCCAUUGGUCAUGACUCUCCAAAACAGUCAAGCUUUGAGGGUGGUGGGCUCCUUCCCUUGGUUUCAAUGUAUGUAACCCCUAACAGAAGGUCUGAUUCCUGUUGGAAACUCAGGGAGAAGCCCCUGCGAAGACUGUGGCAGACCACCGUCCUGAGGACUCCAUAAGCCAAACCUGGGUCAAGGUCAAAGCGUAAGUCAUGGCUCAGGGCUUGUGCUUUUGGGGGCUGGGGGACUCACUGUGGCUGCCUGAGGAGGGCACCAGGAUGACACCAGCAUGCCAGGCGCUCCCUGUGGAUACUUAGCUUUCAAGCUGGUUUAACUACACAGGAAACACCAUGUCUCAAACAGGGAUCAGUCCUCACAGCUUAGACAUGACAAAGCUUGUCUCCUCUAUUUCAGGACCUCAGAAUCAAGUAUCAAGAAGGUGGUCUCAGGAAGUAGAUGGAGAACCUUCUUCCAAUACAGCUCCUAACAUGACUCCCUAUUUCCUGGGGAUCCUCCUUCUCUGACCUCUUUCUACCCUGAAUUCAUCCUAUUGCUGCCAUUUUAAACUUUCCAAAGCUUUGAAAAUAUGCUUAAACAUCUUCCACGGCGACAAACACUGUAUGCUUCCACUUACAUGAGAUAAUUAGAGUAGUCAGAUUCAUAGAGACGGGGUAGAACGGUGGUUGCCAGGCUCUAGGGAAGGGGGAAUGGGGAGCUGGUGUUCAGUUACAGAGUUUCAGCUUUACAAGAGGAAAAGAACUGUGGAGAUGGAUGGUGCACAACAUUAUGAAU